GACAGAUCCCGUUUUGCGCCAUCUCCCUGAAGCUGUCUCCAGAACAACGCUCCGUGGAACAGGGGACAGGACAGGUGACCCGGUGAGCCGUAAGCCCCGUCUUGCAGGGGGUUUGCCAAGCUGCCUGCACUCUCUCCCUGAAGACAGACACCUGCCAGAUUGCACCUGAGUCCCUCCGGCCCCGCGGCCCCAGCGAAGCGAGGCGCUGGCCUGCAGAAAAGCCAUUCCGGGGCCGCCUGUGCUGGGCCGCCCUCCCUGGGGAGAGCCCCGCGUCCCAGCGCGGCUUGCGGGGACACGUGAGCCAGCCAGGAGUUCCUCUCCUGCAGGGUUACCCACUUGGAAAGCUCCAGCCCUCAGCACCGCUCAGGGUGGAGAAGAGGCACCAGGCAGAAAUAAAAUGUUAGGCACACUCCUAGGAACUUCUCCUGGACGCCCCUCUCUACCCUCCCCUCAACACCAACCUCUCUCUCAAGACCAAGCAGGAAAAAAAAGAAGGAAAGAUCUCACAGAGCAGAAGGCACUUCCGCCUGAACAUUCAUGAGUGGUCCAGCAACUGAUAAGGAGAAGAGAUAGCAAGGCUGACAUCACCCGAGUCUUUCAGAGAAACGGUGACCUUCACAGCUGUACAUUCCUAGUCAGUGACUGAAUAUUAUGGGAAAGACAAGGGUACAGAGGGAGACUUGUACCUUCACUGCAUACUCCACAGACUCAUUCUUUCUCUGCUUCUCAGAGUACAAACAAUAUUUGCAAAGGCAACAUGGUAAAGAAAAUGUAUGAGAUAAAUAAAAUGUAUGCAUAUGAUGAAAGAUGAUUGAAAAACACUGUGAUUGUCUUCUUACCUAUGGUUUAAACAAUGUAUGAUAUGACCUCAACUUUCAUUAAUCUCAAAUCCUAGCUUUUUUUUCUCCGAAUAUAUAUUGCUUAUCUGAAAAUAUACCAUUUAAAAAAAUUUCUAGAUAAUUGCUCCCAUUUGGACAUCUCUAAAGAUAACUGAUAGUUUUGGAGUUAUAAAACUUCAAAUUUAGGAGCUGGAGCGAUAGCACAGCGGGUAAGACAUUUGCCUUGUACUCGGCCUACCCGGGUUUGAUUCCCAGCAUCCCAUAUGUCCCCCGAGCACUGCCAGGAGUAAUUCCUGAGUGCAUGAGCCAGAAGUAACUCCUGUGCAUCGCUGGGUGUGACCCAAGAAGCAAAAUAAAAUAAUCUUCAAAGUCUAGAACUGGACAUAGGGGCCCAUGGGAAAGCCCAUGUUGCAUAUAAAUGAAGCUAGUAUUUGAUUCCUAGCAUUACCAAGAAAAAGAAAGAAGAAACGUUAGGUCACAUAAUAUUUCUGUGUAUUUUUCUACUUUUUAAUUUCACAUUCUUAUUUAGUUUAAGAUAAAAAUGACUCCAUGUUUUAAUUACUGUCUAAUGCCUAGGCUAUAAUUGAUAGGAGUCAAUUCCAGCAUUAUACAGAAAACAACACUUCCAUAAUCAAAGGCUAUAUUUCAAAGUUUCACAUAUUUGGCAAAAUUUUGGAUAAAUAUUUAGCAGAAAAUAACCUCACAAACAUAUUUAGUGUUCAAGUUGACAGAAUAUAACUAAAACUGGAAUAAUUCACAAAAACACUGCCAUGGCCCCAAUAAAAGAAAAGAAAAGAAACUUGCAAAUGUAUGAUUGUUGCAAAAUUAUAACAUCAAAUAGAAUUUUUAAUAUAUUGAAUGAUAUGCCAUAAAAGGUGAAGGGACAGGGAUUUAUAUAGUUUUUAAAUAUUUUUAUUUAAAUUAUGGUUGUAAACUAAAAUGUUAGGUAUGUAUACUACAACCAUUCAUAAAGAAUCAACUAUAAAAGUUGUAUAAAGAGGCAUAGUAAAAAGCAUAUCAGUAAAAUAAAAUGUAAUAGCAAGAGCUAUUCAGAUAUCUUUAAAGGAAUGAUGGGGAGAAAGAGAAAACAGAAGAUCAAUAAUAAAAUGGAUCUACUAAUGCCAAGCAUAUAUGUACUUACACUAAAUGUAAAUUCUCUAAAGUCAUAAACUAAAUUAAUGCUUUAGUAGAAGAUUGUUGGAUUGGAUUAAAAAUAAAAUAAAUACUACCCAAGCAUAUCUAUUAUAGAGCAUCACUUCAGCAUAAUGAACCUUGUAGAUAAAUUAAAAGAAAAAAAGCACAAUUCAGGGCUGGAGCAAUAGCACAGCAGGUAGGGCGUUUGCCUUGCACGCGGUCGGCCCGGGUUCGAUUCCCAGCAUCCCGUAUGGUCCCCUGAGCACCAGCAGGAGUGAUUCCUGAGUGCAGAGCCAGGAGUAACCCCUGUGCAUGGACAGGUGUGACCCAAAAAGCAAAGAAAAAAAAAGAAAGAAAAAAAGCACAAUCCAAUGUCUGCAUACACCUAAUAAUAGAGUUUCAAAAUAUAUAAAAUAAAAACUGACCAAACUAAAAGGAGGAAAAUAAAUCUGAAAAGAGAAAGAGCAAAUAUACCUGGAGCUUUCACCAAAUUAGGCUCUAUUCUAGGUCACAAAACAAACAAAUUUUACCAUAAUCUAAUCAAUUUAAUUAAGUAAAAAUAAUUCUAGAAAUUCUCUAAGUAUUGAGUAGCUAUACAACAUUUUUGUGUAGCUUAAAAGUUUUUUAGCCAACAGGGGGCCGGAGCGAUAGCACAGCGGGUAGGGCGUCUGCCUUGCACGCGGCCGACCCGGGUUCGAUCCCCGGCAUCCCAUAUGGUCCCCCAAGCACUGCCAGGAGUAAUUCCUGAGUGCAAAGCCAGGAGUAACCCCUGAGCAUCGCUGGGUAUUCCAAAAAGGAAAAAUUAAUAAAUAAAAAUAAACAAACAAAAAAAAGUUUUUUAGCCAACAACAAAGUCUUUAGGAUAAUUAAGGAAUAGUUUAACUGUACACAAAUGAAUUUACAGCAUAGUAACAUUUGUGACAUACCUAAAAAUAAUGUUUUAUGUGAAAUGUUCUUUUUAGAAUAUAUUAAAAGUAUUAAAUAUUCUAAGUUUAUACAAAGCUAAAAAGCAAUAGCUAACACAUAGCAAAAAGAAAUAAAAUAAAUGUAGGAAGACAAAUGAAGAAUUUGAUAAAAGAUAAAACAGUGAAGAAAAAUCAAUGAAUCAAAAACAAGGAUUCUUAGAAAAAUUAAAUAAAAUUAUAAACUUCCAGCUAUAAUUACCCCCCAAAUAAAAUAAAUUAUAUUAAUAUCAAAUAUUAAAGGUCAAAUUCCACAGACAAGAAGACAAUAAAUAUAAGUAAGCUGAAUAACUAUAAGUAAUUCUCUCCAUAAAGAUAAGAAAUUUAAAUGAAAGGAAUCUAAUCUAUAAAUAUGCUAUCCAAAAGAAGAAUAUAUAACCUGACUUUAGAGUUGAGGAGUAAAGUAUUUAUAUCAGAUUUUAUAAGGAAUUUUAUCAAUAGAAAAUAGAAUAAAAGAAAUCAACUAAAAAUAUAUAUAUAUGAACAGAAUCUUCAUGUAAAAGGCAUACAAGAAGCAAAUAAUUACAUGAAAAAACUAUUAUUCAGUGGGAAAAUGCCAAUUUAAAAAGAACACUACACCUAUGAAAAUAAUUAAAAUAUAUAUAUACAUAUGAUAGUACCACGUAUCAGCAAGAAUGUGCACCUGGAACCCUCACAUAUUAUUGUAGGAAUGAAAAAUUGCAGAUUUUUAAAGACUGCCUAGUAGUUUCACAUAAAGUGCAAAUUAUACAUACAUAUGACUCAACUACCAUUUAUCACAUUUAAUUUCCUAUAGAAAUGGAAAUGUAAGUUCUUACCAAAACUGUACUUUAACAUAACAACAUGAUUUAUAAUUGACCCAAAACUAAAAUAAUCCAAGGUCCCCCAGUGGGAAGAUGAAUGGUAUAUGAUUGAAAAAGAAAUGAAUUAUUAACAGGUGCAAAACAUAUAUGAAUCACAAAUUAACUAUAUUUAGUAAAAGAAGCCAGUAUCAAAAUGUCACAUAUUGUGCCAUUUAUCUGACAUUCUAGAAAGGCAAAGUUAAAGAGAUAGAGUAAAUCAGUGACUGUCAUUUAUUAAGGGAGAGUCACUUAUUAAGAGGGGUAGUUUAUUUACUAAGAAAUAAACACUUUAUUAGUAUUAAGCACAAAUAGACUUUUUCAGAUGAUGGAGUUAUUUGUGUUUCCUUUAUGGUGGUAAUUGCAAACAUUUUGCAUAUGCUAAAAUAUAUAAAACUGUAUACCAAAAAAGCAAUUUUCUGUAUGCGAUUUUUAAAAUCAUCAAAAUCUUAAAACUGUUUUAAGUAUGUAAAUCCACCAGGUUCUUUUCUUACAUCUUUCAACAUACUGUUUCAGAAUUUUAACAUCACAUUUUGCCUUACCAUUGACUUUAUUUUUUUUUAAUUUUUUUUUAAAUUUUUUAUUGUGGAAAGUUACAAAGUUACAAAGUUUUCAGGUUUAAAUCUCAGUUAUACAAUGCUCGAAUACCCAUCCCUUCACCAGUGCUCAUAUUUCACCACCAAGAAUCCCAGUAUAGCUCCACCCCGCCCCCUCACACCCCAAACCCCCCA